CCUACGUGAGGCAGCAGUGGGGGAUAUUGCACAAUGGGGGGAACCCUGAUGCAGCGACGCCGCGUGGGUGAAGAAGCGCCUCGGCGCGUAAAGCCCUGUCAGCAGGGAAGAAAAUGACGGUACCUGAAGAAGAAGCCCCGGCGAACUACGUGCCAGCAGCCGCGGUAAUACGUAGGGGGCAAGGGUUAUCCGGAUUUACGGGGUGUAAAGCGGGCGCAGACGGCGAUGCAAGCCAGGAGUGAAAGCCCGGGGCCCAACCCCGGGACUGCUCUUGGAACUGGGUGGCUGGAGUGCAGGAGAGGCAGGCGGAAUUCGUGGUGUAGCGAUGAAAUGCGUAGAUAUCAGGAGGAACACCGGUGGCGAAGGCAGCCUGCUGGACUGCAACUGACGUUGAGGCCCGAAAGCGUGGGGAGCAAACAGGAUUAGAUACCCGUGUAGUC
rnacentral:rRNA from 1 species